AUUGAACGCUGGCGGCAGGCCUAACACAUGCAAGUCGAACGAGUGGCGGCCGGGUGAGUAAUGUCAGGGAAACUGCCUGAUGGAGGGGGAUAACUACUGGAAACGGUAGCUAAUACCGCAUACCAUCAGAUGUGCCCAGAUGGGAUUAGCUUGUUGGUGGGGUAACGGCUCACCAAGGCGACGAUCCCUAGCUGGUCUGAGAGGAUGACCCGACCCACCUGUAAUGGGACCCGGGCCCAAACCCUAACGGGAGCAGCAAGGGGGAAUAUUUCACCAAGGGAGCAAACCAGAUGCAGCCCAUCCGACGGUAUUAAGAAGGCCUUCAGGGUGUAAAGUCAUUUCAGAGGGGAGGCGUUACCCGCAGAAGAAGCACCGGCUAACACCGUGCCAGCAGCCGCGGUAAUAC
rnacentral:rRNA from 1 species